rnacentral:rRNA from 1 species
CUGCGAAUGGCUCAUUAUAUAAGUUAUCGUUUAUUUGAUAGUACCUUCCUACUUGGAUAACUGUGGUAAUUCUAGAGCUAAUACAUGCUAAAAAUCCCGACUCCGGAAGGGAUGUAUUUAUUAGAUUAAAAACCAAUGCCCCCUGGGCUCUCUGGUGAUUCAUGAUAACUCCUCGAAUCGCAUGGCCUUGUGCUGGCGAUGGUUCAUUCAAAUUUCUUCCCUAUCAACUUUCGAUGUUUGGGUAGUGGCCAAACAUGGUUGCAACGGGUAACGGAGGGUUAGGGCUCGACCCCGGAGAAGGAGCCUGAGAAACGGCUACUACAUCCAAGGAAGGCAGCAGGCGCGCAAAUUACCCAAUCCCGACUCGGGGAGGUAGUGACAAUAAAUACUGAUACAGGGCUCUUUUGGGUCUUGUAAUCGGAAUGAGUACAAUUUAAAUCCCUUAACGAGGAACAAUUGGAGGGCAAGUCUGGUGCCAGCAGCCGCGGUAAUUCCAGCUCCAAUAGCGUAUAUUAAAGUUGUUGUGGUUAAAAAGCUCGUAGUUGAACCUUGGGCCUGGCUGGCCGGUCCGCCUCACCGCGUGUACUGGUCCGGCCGGGCCUUUCCCUCUGUGGAACCCCAUGCCCUUCACUGGGUGUGGCGGGGAAACAGGACGUUUACUUUGAAAAAAUUAGAGUGCUCCAGGCAGGCCUAUGCUCGAAUACAUUAGCAUGGAAUAAUGAAAUAGGACGUGCGGUUCUAUUUUGUUGGUUUCUAGGACCGCCGUAAUGAUUAAUAGGGACAGUCGGGGGCAUCAGUAUUCAAUUGUCAGAGGUGAAAUUCUUGGAUUUAUUGAAGACUAACUACUGCGAAAGCAUUUGCCAAGGAUGUUUUCAUUAAUCAGGAACGAAAGUUAGGGGAUCGAAGACGAUCAGAUACCGUCGUAGUCUUAACCAUAAACUAUGCCGACUAGGGAUCGGACGAUGUUAAUUUUUGACUCGUUCGGCACCUUGCG